GAAAUCCUCAUGUUAACGGUUCCAAUUUCCAAUCCAGAUUGGUAGGAUAGAGGACUGGAAAUCCUCGCNNCAAUCU
rnacentral:tRNA from 1 species